CGGGCACUGGUCCUAGGCUCCGGCCGCUCGCGGGGAGGCGGGGCCUCUACCACGCGGCUGCCGGGCCUGCUGCCGCCCGCACCGGAGCCUCCCGGACCACCAGGGAUGUCUUCACCGGGUCCCACACCCAGGCUUAGCCGCUCCGGAGGCCUCCUGGCCCGAACAGGCCGUCGUCCGCCGCCGUCCUGGCCCUCCGCCGCCGCCAGGGCCGGGCCUAACUGGGCCUUCAGCCAGUCAGCCCCCUGGUGCCUCGCCGCCGACCGGAUCC